rnacentral:rRNA from 1 species
UGCCAGCAGCCGCGGUAAUACGGAGGGGGCUAGCGUUGUUCGGAAUUACUGGGCGUAAGGCGCGCGUAGGCGGAUUAGUCAGUUGGAGGUGAAAUCCCGGAGCUCAACUCCGGAAUUGCCUUCAAUACUGCUAGUCUUGAGUUCGAGAGAGGGUGGUGGAAUUCCCAGUGUAGAGGUGAAAUUCGUAGAUAUUGGGAAGAACACCAGUGGCGAAGGCGACUUCCUGGGCCAAUACUGACGCUGAGGCGCGAAAGCGUGGGUAGCAAACAGGAUUAGAUA